rnacentral:misc_RNA from 1 species
GUGAAUCAUCAAAUUUUUGAACGCAAAUUGCACUCUCUUCGGAGAUGAUGGCUGUUUGAGGGUCAGCCUAAAAAAAAUCGACAUCGUUGCUGUUUCGCGGUGGCGGUCGUCGGAAAUUGUGUUAGCUUAAAUCUUUGGUUUAAGCGACUUAAAAUUUUCUUUACGAUUCCAUGAACGUUUCCAAGCUUUAUUUCUUUACACGUUCAAGGUAGCGAUUUUAUUAGGCGUGGUCGUCAUAUCGGAUCUUGACCAUAAUUUUUCGUGAACUGACCUCAGACAGGUAAGAUAAC